GUGCUCACUUUGGCAACACAUAUACUAAAAUUGGAAUGAUACAGAGAAGUUUAGUAUGGCCCCUGUGCAAGUAUGACAUGCAAAUUUGUGAAGAGUUCCACAAUUUU